UACGUAGGUGGCAAGCGUUGUUCGGAUUUACUGGGCGUAAAGAGCGCGUAGGCGGCACUGUACGACCGCUGUGAAAGCCCCCGGCUCAACUGGGGAGGGUCAGUGGUAACGGCAGAGCUUUGAGUGCAGGAGAGGGAAGUGGAACUCCGGGAGUAGCGGUGAAAUGCGUAGAGACCCGGAGGAACACCAGUGGCGAAGGCGG
rnacentral:rRNA from 1 species